rnacentral:rRNA from 1 species
CAGAAACUCAAAGGAAGUUAGACGGGGCCCGCACAAGCGGAGGAGCAUGUGGUUAAUUCGAUGAUACGCGAGGAACCUUACCUGGGCUCGAACGUAAGAUGACUGUAGGUGAAAGCUUACAUCUCUUCGGAGCAUUUUACGAGGUGCUGCAUGGUUGUCGUCAGCUCGUGCCGUGAGGUGUCGGGUUAAGUCCCAUAACGAGCGCAACCCCUACCUUUAGUUGCCAUCAGGUUAAGCUGGGGACUCUAAAGGAACUGCCUACGCAAGUAGUGAGGAAGGCGGGGAUGACGUCAAAUCAGCACGGCCCUUACGUCCAGGGCUACACACGUGCUACAAUGGCCGAUACAGAGGGCAGCUACCUGGUGACAGGAUGCAAAUCUCCAAAGUCGGUCUCAGUUCGGAUCGGAGUCUGCAACCCGACUCCGUGAAGUUGGAUUCGCUAGUAAUCGCGCAUCAGCCAUGGCGCGGUGAAUACGUUCCCGGGCCUU